rnacentral:lncRNA from 1 species
UCCUGUUUAUAAUUUUUGUUGUCUACUCAAUGACCUAUUAUGCCGUGGAGAGCGUGAGCCUUGUCUCAAAAUUUGACCUUCCAUCAAUGACUCAGAGGUAUGUUCUAUAAUGAACGACUGUUGGACUGAAACCCACUAACAGAUUUACCUGCAAAGUCAGCAGCGUUACUUGUUUAUUUAGAAUACAACAGUGUCAUACACGCCAGUAAACUAUCUAGGCUGUUCAUAGGAAAAUCUUAUGUAGAUGAUACAUGAUUAUAUAUCUACUGCAGUGUUAGAGUUACUGCUUAAGUUGUGGAAAACAUGCACACAUAGUAGUUCAUCGAUGUAAUGAUCCUCUGUAUGCAGUUAUUUAUAUUGCAAUACUUCUGUCUAAUCUGCCUUGUAAUGAUUCGUACACAAUCAAGUUCUUCUUGUCUGCAGUACUGUAGAUUUAGCCUCAUAGGCAAUCACUACACAACUUGUGUAGUUAUCUUAGGGUGUCUUUGGUAGGGAUUCUGGGUGCUCCAGCUUCUCUAACAUAAGCACUGUGCUGGUAUUGUACUUAAGAUCUAUUUUUCUCUCUCCUCCUCUCUUCUCUCACUGACACAAAUGGAGCUGCUGGAGCUAAAAACUUUAGCUUCUGCUCCUACUUGAUCUGUGAGAAAGAGAGGGAAGUGAGAGAAUUUUAGCUCCAGUGAAUAGUGGAUAACAGUAUUUAUGCAGGUGCCAGGUGGGAGCCGGAGCCACCCGAAUCCCUCCCAAACGGGCCCUUACUCAUACCACUGUUGAAAAUUAAACAACGGAUUUUAGUCAGUAUCAUGAAUUAGUUUGAUGAUCUGAGCAACAAAGUUCUAAAGUACUAAAAAAUUUUCCUUGCACAGUGAAUUGAUACUGGAUGUCAUUGGCGCCCGUUUUGGGGCGGUUGGGUUGUUCUGCAUGCUCUUCCUCUUCCUGCCAGUCGCAAGAGGCUCAGUUCUCCUCCGGCUUAUCGAUAUUCCAUUUGAGCAUGCUACAAGAUACCACGUCUGGUUGGGUCAUCUCACUAUGGCUCUCUUUACAUUGCAUGGCUUGUUCUUUGUGAUCUCAUGGUCCAUGGAAGGGCGCCUCCGUGAAGAAGUAAGUGCUAAGUGUUUUAGAACCAUAAAGGGUUAAUGAUUUGCGACAAUUAAAGAAAACACUAUCUACUAAAUCACACAAUGGGAAAUUUUGAAGGGUAAAAGCUGAAUUAGAACUAUUCUCGAUCAACGAUGGCUUAAUUUUUGGUUGACGGCAUAUAGUAUUUUGUUGCUACACGUGUCAUGCAUCUCAGAACACUAGUAACAAGCCAUAUUGGCUUUUGUUUUUCUAUAGAUGAGAGAAUGGAAUGAAACUGGAGUAGCAAACCUGCCUGGUGUGAUCAGCUUGGCAGCCGGCCUACUUAUGUGGGUGACAUCACUUCACCCAGUGAGGAAGAGGUUCUUUGAGCUCUUCUUCUACACCCACCAGCUCUACGUCAUCUUCAUCGUGUUCUUGGCGUUCCAUGUCGGCAACUUCCUCUUCAGUAUUUCGGCCGGGGUUGUGUUCCUCUUCAUGCUCGACCGCUUUUUAAGGUU